GUACUUCAAAGACUAUGGUGAGAAUGCAACUAUGAUUGGGAGAAUUAAAGAGAAAGCCAUUGAUAGGGCUUUGAAAACAAGAAGAAGAAGGGGAGGGUGGUGUGUAGGUUUCACUUUCACCAAGCUUGUUGUAGGGAAGAGUGAAUGCAAGACAACCAAACAAAUGAGAAUGACUGAAUGAGGAUUGAGCUGAUUGAAAGGUAGAGAUAAGAAGAGAAAUGGAGGACAAAGUGGUGAAGUCGAGGUUCAAGCGGGUCUGGGUCUUUUAUGGGAGUAGACUGGAGAGAGGAACUGCUAUCGAGAUGCUGCCCACGAAUUAGGCCAAGAGCUUGUUUCGAGGAGGCUGAAUCUUGUUUAUGGCGGUGAGAGUGUUGGGUUGAUGGGUUUGGUCUCUCAAGCUGUUCACUGUGGUGGCUGACAUAUUCUUGGGAUCAUCCCCAAGACUCUCAUGUCCAAAUAGACCAGUUUUGAAACUCCACCAAUCUCAAGUUGACUUGGCUGUCUCGGCCAAUCAUGGCUGAGUUUGGGAUAAACAAAUGGUAACUGGAUAGCCAAUAUUUGUGGGGGUUCAAGUAUCAUAACUUGGGAUUAGGCUUCACUUUCUCUGUCUCUCUCUC